UCGAAACUAGAAUGGAGUCCAUGAUGAGAAUUCCAACGAGCCUGGACGCAGCUACAAAGUAAGAAUACAAUCAAAUAACUAAUAUCGUCAGAACUAUUGUAACAAUACAAGCAGUAGAUUUACCACAGUGUUAUCUCUAUAUUUACAUGGGCAUCAGUCGUCAAGAUGUAUGGAAUGACAGGAUAACUAAUGUUGAAGUUCUGGAGCGCUGGGGAGAUACCUUGGACAUGGAGUGUCGUCUCAGCAGACGUCGCCUUGAGUGGCUUGGUCAUGUGGCAAGGAUGGAGGAUGAGCGCAUCCCGAAGGCUCUACUGUUCGGUUCGUUUCCAAACAAGAGACCUGCCCAUGGUCCACGGAAAAGGUGGCGAGACUGUGUUCGGAGUGACGUCAAACCACUUGACGACUGGUAUGAAGUGGCCACCUCUUCUCGCUCCAAAUGGCGCCAGGCUUACCGUUGUCUGCCAGACAAGCAGAACAGACCUCGACCAUCACCGGUUGUGUGCCAAACUUGUCACCGCUCCUUCAGUCGUGUAAGUGACAGGAAGCGACACAAGUGUACAGCUACGCGUGCCCUACCCGUGAGCCAACAGCCAGGAAGCUGUCACUGCGAUCAGUGCGACAGAUGGUUCCGGAGCAAUGGUGGAUUUGCCCGACACAAGUGCUCGCCAGCAACAUCACCAGCAGAGGCAUCUUCUGACACACUUGAGUCACCGGUUACAAACAAUAUGUCCUGCGAACGCUGCAGCUUCCACUGCGCCCGCUGCAACCGCUGUGUGCUAUCGCGCCAAGGCAUGAAACGUCACAAGUGCAGCCGUGGCUCGGCCAGAGCAACCAACACAGACCGUAGCUCAUUCUGCAUCGUUUGCAAUUGCGGUCGGCGUUUCAGUAGACCACAGGACCUAUCCCGUCAUCGCCCCUACUGUUCCGAACCUGCUCAACCCUCCAUGGGGUCCGCAUAGCCAGAAUAUGGCAGCGCGUCCAAGGUCCAAGGCAAUGAAGAUGCAGGAAAUAGAGUAACUCGACGUCAACCAGCCCGGUUCACCGGGAACCCACCACCUUCACCCAGCCAAGCAAUUCGGUCUCCGCCAGCCAUAGCACCCAACCCCAAGCCUGUUGUUAAAGCCCGGGCUACUCACGCAUCUCCCCCCAAGCCCACCGGCCUCUGUGCAAUGAUAGCGGCCUUCGAUUCAGCCGGCCAGGAACGGAAACUGGCUGGAACUCUACCUUCAAAACCUAGUCGAGCCCCCCAGCCUCCUACUCGCCCAAAUCCCGUCACUCCCCACAACACAGCAAGAACAGUGGAAACUAAGGAUCCCACUACAGGUCACAGAGUGCAGCCAGUAGUGACUUCUGAUCCUGUGUCUCCUUCACGACCACCGCUCUGUGACCACGCACGAGUAGCGGCUGGCGCUAACCAAUCAAUGGGCACUGAGGCGGCGACAUCUGCCCCAGCUGAUCCCAAGCCCUCUCCGAAAUCUAGACAAGCUGCUCCUUUCAGGUCUGCUAGUGUCUCUACACUAGCAUCUGGUUUUGAAUCGGAUAGGUACGAAGCAGUCAGACUGCCCUCGGAUCAAGCCCCAAAGCCCAAACCGCGCCAAAUGUCCAUCACUGGUGCCAGGGCAGCUAGCUUGGCCAGGAGCCCAACCAUAGCUGUUGGCAAAGACCCGGGCGGACAUGCAGUGCAGCAAGUCCAGCGGUCAGCGCUGCCAACAAAGAGCUUAGCUGCCAAGCCCAUUGCCCUGCCUGCGACUGGACGCUUGUCGAUCGCCAAGAAGGCAACAAGAGAUUUAGCUACGCACCCGCAGCCCAACUCUCUGAGUCAAGCAGGCAACACAGGUCCAUGGUCAAGCCAGCAGUUCCGGAAGUGGAUCCCACACCUCAAAGCAGCGCUCAGCUGUGGCACAAUCCGCACGGAAUGCCUGGCCGAAGGGCUGCUCAGCGAUACGCAGAAGAAGGAAUUGAUGGGAGUAGAAUAUGAUUCUGCCAAACACAAUGACCGACUGCUAGAUAUGCUGAGCAGGGGUACAGCUGAGACUUUCCACACAUUCUGUAGUAUUGUGCGUAGCACCGAACCUGAAGCAAACUUUUCAAAGUUCCUAGAUGACAUGCAGUCAGUGGAUACCUUUGUUGCAGGUAAGUAGAAACUUUAUCAGUCAGGUGACUGAGAGACACUCACAUAAUUGUAUUACAUGUACAGCAAGUACUGUUGGAUACCAUUAGUACUUGGGUGACAAUCUGAGAAACGUUCAUGUUUGGAAAAGAAGAAGUGAGGACCCUGGUGCUCCAGCCUCAAUGCCAACUUGGGCAAGCCACUAAACUCCCCUGGCUUCAGCUGACUAUUUUGCGUAAUGUGGAACCUACCAGAAGUUGGGCAGGGGA